rnacentral:rRNA from 1 species
GAUGAACGCUGGCGGCGCGCCUAACACAUGCAAGUCGAACGAUUAAAGCAUCUUCGGGUGUGUAUAAAGUGGCGAACGGCUGAGUAACACGUGGGCAACCUGCCCCUCUCAUUGGGAUAGCCACGGGAAACCGUGGAUAAUACCGAAUACUUCGGGACUUCCGCAUGGAAGACUCGAGAAAGCUCCGGCGGAGGGGGAUGGGCCCGCGGCCUGUUAGCUUGUUGGUGGGGUAAUGGCCUACCAAGGCAAUGAUGGGUAGCUGGGUUGAGAGACCGACCAGCCAGAUUGGGACUGAGACACGGCCCAGACUCCUACGGGAGGCAGCAGUGGGGAAUCUUGCACAAUGGGCGAAAGCCUGAUGCAGCGACGCCGCGUGCGGGAUGAAGGCCUUCGGGUUGUAAACCGCUUUCAGCAGGGACGAGGCGAAAGUGACGGUACCUGCAGAAGAAGCCCCGGCUAACUACGUG